rnacentral:rRNA from 1 species
AUGAUGUCGUUAAGCAGGAGCCAAUCGGACCGAAAUUUGAGUUCUGUCCAGAAUUCUAUGUACCAAACACCAAUUUUUCCUGUUCAUGGUACACCUCUGAAUACUAACUCUGUUGAGCAAGCAACUACUUCACAACCUAAGCAUGAAGAAAAAUUUCUAUCAACUGAAGCAGUUGAUAUCAAUUUUUCUAGUGGAACUAAUGCAAAAAGAAGUUUUAUAUUGAUUAGUUCCGCUUCUUCAAAUGAAAGAGUUAAGCGCUUCCAAGGGACUCCAACCAUUAUUGAGGAUGACUCUCCUAUCACUCCUGCUGUUGCGACUAAUGAAGACAUACCAGCCUCUGACUGUGACAUAAGUGUAGGAAUUCCAAUGAACAUGGACUUUGCUGUCCAACAAGGCUAUUCUACAAUGAACAAUGCAGAAGCUGGACCAAGUACAGGAACUAAUACAAUUGAAAAGAAGAACAGGAAAAAAAGAGCAGCUAAACUUCAAUCUCCAAAUCCACCCAAGAAGCUCAAAAUAUCUCGAGAAGUGGAUAUCUUCUUUUCCAAAUAUCUGAGGAAGCCUAUCUUCCAAGACUAG